UACGUAGGGGGCAAGCGUUGUCCGGAUUUAUUGGGCGUAAAGAGCGUGUAGGCGGCCAGGUAGGUCUGCUGUGAAAACUCGAGGCUCAACCUCGAGAUGUCGGCGGAAACCAUCUGGCUAGAGUCCGGAAGAGGAAAGUGGAAUUCCCGGUGUAAGCGGUGAAAUGCGCAGAUAUCGAGAGGAACACCUGCGGCGAAGGCGGGUUGCUGGGCCGACACGUGACGCUGAUGCGCGAA
rnacentral:rRNA from 1 species